UNAUUGGGCGUAAAGGGAGCGCAGGCGGUCAGGAAAGUCUGGAGUAAAAGGCUAUGGCUCAACCAUAGUGUGCUCUGGAAACUNUCUGACUUGAGUGCAGAAGGGGAGAGUGGAAUUCCAUGUGUAGCGGUGAAAUGCGUAGAUAUAUGGAGGAACACCAGUGGCGAAAGCGGCUCUCUGGUCUGUCACUGACGCUGAGGCUCGAAAGCGUGGGUAGCGAACAGGAUUAGAUACCCUGGUAGUCCACGCCGUAAACGAUGAGUGCUAGGUGUUAGGCCCUUUCCGGGGCUUAGUGCCGGAGCUAACGCAAUAAGCACUCCGCCUGGGGAGUACGACCGCAAGGUUGAAACUCAAAGGAAUUGACGGGGGCCCGCACAAGCGGUGGAGCAUGUGGUUUAAUUCGAAGCAACGCGAAGAACCUUACCAGGUCUUGACAUCCCGAUGCUAUUCUUAGAGAUAGGAAGUUACUUCGGUACAUCGGAGACAGGUGGUGCAUGGUUGUCGUCAGCUCGUGUCGUGAGAUGUUGGGUUAAGUCCCGCAACGAGCGCAACCCUUAUUGUUAGUUGCCAUCAUUAAGUUGGGCACUCUAGCGAGGCUGCCGGUAAUAAACCGGAGGAAGGUGGGGAUGACGUCAAAUCAUCAUGCCCCUUAUGACCUGGGCUACACACGUGCUACAAUGGUCGGUACAACGAGUUGCGAGCCGGUGACGGCAAGCUAAUCUCUGAAAGCCGAUCUCAGUUCGGAUUGGAGGCUGCAACUCGCCUCCAUGAAGUCGGAAUCGCUAGUAAUCGCGGAUCAGCACGCCGCGGUGAAUACGUUCCCGGGCCUUGUACACACCGCCCGUCACACCACGAGAGUUUGUAACACCCGAAGUCGGUGAGGUANCCUUUUAGGG
rnacentral:rRNA from 1 species